rnacentral:rRNA from 1 species
AGUCUGAAUAGGGCGUUUAGUAUUUGGUCGUAGACCCGAAACCAGGUGAUCUACCCUUGGUCAGGUUGAAGUUCAGGUAACACUGAAUGGAGGACCGAACCGACUUACGUUGAAAAGUGAGCGGAUGAACUGAGGGUAGCGGAGAAAUUCCAAUCGAACCUGGAGAUAGCUGGUUCUCUCCGAAAUAGCUUUAGGGCUAGCCUCAAGUGAUGAUUAUUGGAGGUAGAGCACUGUUUGGACGAGGGGCCCCUCUCGGGUUACCGAAUUCAGACAAACUCCGAAUGCCAAUUAAUUUAACUUGGGAGUCAGAACAUGGGUGAUAAGGUCCGUGUUCGAAAGGGAAACAGCCCAGACCACCAGCUAAGGUCCCAAAAUAUAUGUUAAGUGGAAAAGGAUGUGGCGUUGCCCAGACAACUAGGAUGUUGGCUUAGAAGCAGCCAUCAUUUAAAGAGUGCGUAAUAGCUCACUAGUCGAGUGACACUGCGCCGAAAAUGUACCGGGGCUAAACAUAUUACCGAAGCUGUGGAUUGUCCUUUGGACAAUGGUAGGAGAGCGUUCUAAGGGCGUUGAAGCAUGAUCGUAAGGACAUGUGGAGCGCUUAGAAGUGAGAAUGCCGGUGUGAGUAGCGAAAGACGGGUGAGAAUCCCGUCCACCGAUUGACCAAGGUUUCCAGAGGAAGGCUCGUCCGCUCUGGGUUAGUCGGGUCCUAAGCUGAGGCCGACAGGCGUAAGCGAUGGAUAACAGGUUGAUAUUCCUGUACCACCUAUAAUCGUUUUAAUCGAUGGGGGGACGCAGUAGGAUAGGCGAAGCGUGCGAUUGGAUUGCACGUCUAAGCAGUAAGGCUGAGUAUUAGGCAAAUCCGGUACUCGUUAAGGCUGAGCUGUGAUGGGGAGAAGACAUUGUGUCUUCGAGUCGUUGAUUUCACACUGCCGAGAAAAGCCUCUAGAUAGAAAAUAGGUGCCCGUACCGCAAACCGACACAGGUAGUCAAGAUGAGAAUUCUAAGGUGAGCGAGCGAACUCUCGUUAAGGAACUCGGCAAAAUGACCCCGUAACUUCGGGAGAAGGGGUGCUCUUUAGGGUUAACGCCCAGAAGAGCCGCAGUGAAUAGGCCCAAGCGACUGUUUAUCAAAAACACAGGUCUCUGCUAAACCGUAAGGUGAUGUAUAGGGGCUGACGCCUGCCCGGUGCUGGAAGGUUAAGAGGAGUGGUUAGCUUCUGCGAAGCUACGAAUCGAAGCCCCAGUAAACGGCGGCCGUAACUAUAACGGUCCUAAGGUAGCGAAAUUCCUUGUCGGGUAAGUUCCGACCCGCACGAAAGGCGUAACGAUUUGGGCACUGUCUCAACGAGAGACUCGGUGAAAUCAUAGUACCUGUGAAGAUGCAGGUUACCCGCGACAGGACGGAAAGACCCCGUGGAGCUUUACUGUAGCCUGAUAUUGAAAUUCGGCACAGCUUGUACAGGAUAGGUAGGAGCCUUUGAAACGUGAGCGCUAGCUUACGUGGAGGCGCUGGUGGGAUACUACCCUAGCUGUGUUGGCUUUCUAACCCGCACCACUUAUCGUGGUGGGAGACAGUGUCAGGCGGGCAGUUUGACUGGGGCGGUCGCCUCCUAAAAGGUAACGGAGGCGCUCAAAGGUUCCCUCAGAAUGGUUGGAAAUCAUUCAUAGAGUGUAAAGGCAUAAGGGAGCUUGACUGCGAGACCUACAAGUCGAGCAGGGUCGAAAGACGGACUUAGUGAUCCGGUGGUUCCGCAUGGAAGGGCCAUCGCUCAACGGAUAAAAGCUACCCCGGGGAUAACAGGCUUAUCUCCCCCAAGAGUUCACAUCGACGGGGAGGUUUGGCACCUCGAUGUCGGCUCAUCGCAUCCUGGGGCUGUAGUCGGUCCCAAGGGUUGGGCUGUUCGCCCAUUAAAGCGGUACGCGAGCUGGGUUCAGAACGUCGUGAGACAGUUCGGUCCCUAUCCGUCGUGGGCGUAGGAAAUUUGAGAGGAGCUGUCCUUAGUACGAGAGGACCGGGAUGGACAUACCUCUGGUGUACCAGUUGUCGUGCCAACGGCAUAGCUGGGUAGCUAUGUGUGGACGGGAUAAGUGCUGAAAGCAUCUAAGCAUGAAGCCCCCCUCAAGAUGAGAUUUCCCAACUUCGGUUAUAAGAUCCCUCAAAGAUGAUGAGGUUAAUAGGUUCGAGGUGGAAGCAUGGUGACAUGUGGAGCUGACGAAUACUAAUCGAUCGAAGACUUAAUCAA